UACGUAGGGGGCAAGCGUUGUCCGGAAUCAUUGGGCGUAAAGAGCGUGUAGGCGGCGUGUCGCGUCGGGAGUGAAAGCCCGCUGCUUAACGGCGGGUUGGCUUCCGGUACGGGCAUCGCUGGAGUGCGGCAGGGGAGACUGGAAUUCCUGGUGUAGCGGUGGAAUGCGCAGAUAUCAGGAGGAACACCGGUGGCGAAGGCGGGUCUCUGGGCCGUUACUGACGCUGAGGAGCGAAAGCGUGGGGAGCGAACAGG
rnacentral:rRNA from 1 species